CUCGUAGGCGGUUUGUCGCGUCGUCUGUGAAAUCCUGCAACUCAAUUGUAGGCGUGCAGGCGAUACGGGCAAACUUGAGUACUACAGGGGAGACUGGAAUUCCUGGUGUAGCGGUGAAAUGCGCAGAUAUCAGGAGGAACACCGGUGGCGAAGGCGGGUCUCUGGGUAGUAACUGACGCUGAGGAGCGAAAGCGUGGGAGCGAACA
rnacentral:rRNA from 1 species